rnacentral:tRNA from 1 species
UGGGAGUUUAGCUCAGCUGGGAGAGCAUCUGCCUUACAAGCAGAGGGUCAGCGGUUAGAGGGCGUUAACUCCCA